rnacentral:lncRNA from 1 species
CAAACAACGAAGAGUUGUUUAGUAUAAGUCUGUCCUCUGCAAUAUUGGGGACAUAUUUAUACUAAUAAAUCAUUCAUUGUUAGCUGAAAUUCAAAUGUAACUGAGCCUCCUUUAUUUUACCUGGCGCCCCUGCCGCUGGGCCUCCUGGCAAAGAUCAUUUGUGAGCAGAGAGCCGAGCGCGCCCUCACCUUCUCCUGGAAAGGCUCGGACAGCCAACCAGAGCCGCGCUGAAGACAACCCACAAGGCCGGCUCGGUGAGGACAAGAACCAAAGCCGAGUUCCUCUUCUUUAACCCCAGAUUGUCAGCCCCAUGUCGCUGUCCCUAAAUUGAAGUGCCCCUGCACUGUGGCUCUCCGGGGCCAGGACUCCCAGCAAACGACAGUGCAGGGCUGGCAGCCUUUGCACUGAUGCUCUCCCGUCUGAUGGAAACAAGCCCACCCCUUCCUAAGGCUCGGCUGAGGGCCCACAACCCUGCAGUUCUUGGCUCCAAGUUACAAAGGGAGGAGCUGUCCAGGGACUUGUGGGUGUCCCUUCUCCUGGACCACGCGCCCCACGAGGGCAGGGUCUGCGUGUGUCCGCUCGGAACCAGAUCAGCCGAGGCCGGAACACUGAAGGAAGGAAUAAACAGCAAAAGUCUGGUCGACGUGCUGGCUAUACCGGCAUUCUUCAAAGGAAACCUACACAGUCUUUCUUAGAUUCUAAGAAGCGAUCAAUGUGCCAGUUUCAACAGCAACUUUUCCAGGAAAAGGAGCCCUGGGAUCAAGCAAGACACAGCCAACAGGCCGCCAGCUCGGUGCCCGCUGUGGGCCAUCCGUCAGAGCCCAGCCCGCAUCUGGGAAGGUCUUCUCAGAAGGUCAACAGCUGAGGAUCUGGGGACAGACGGACUUGGGGUCAAAUCCAUCCUUCACCAGCUGUGAGACCUCAAGCAAGUUACAACCCCCAGCCUCAGUUUCCUCAUCUGUAGAAUGGGGGGAGAAUACCAACCUCCUCGGGGUGUUGGGCCAUUUACCCUGAGAUGCUCCAGGUGUGAGAUGCCCAGCACGGGGCCU